UACGUAGGGUCCGAGCGUUGUCCGGAAUUAUUGGGCGUAAAGGGCUCGUAGGCGGUUUGUCGCGUCGGGAGUGAAACACGGGGCUUAACCCCGUGCCUGCUUCCGAUACGGGCAGACUAGAGGUAUGCAGGGGAGAACGGAAUUCCUGGUGUAGCGGUGAAAUGCGCAGAUAUCAGGAGGAACACCGGUGGCGAAGGCGGUUCUCUGGGCCGUAACUGACGCUGGAGGAGCGAAAGCAUGGGGAGCGAACAGG
rnacentral:rRNA from 1 species